GGGCUGCUAGCUCAAUGGUAGAGCAGUUGCCUCUUAAGCAAUUGGUUCCGGGUUCGAGCCCCGGGCAGCUCA
rnacentral:tRNA from 1 species